rnacentral:lncRNA from 1 species
CUGGCUGUAGCCUGUGUAAAUAAAGCAGUUUUCUGUCCAGUUAUUACUUUUAAUGCUUGUCCUUGUGUUGAAGAUGCUCCAACUCCUACACUGCCCUGAACAACUGAUGCUGGAGUGAGCUGCUUCCCAGAACUCUGAGGAGAAGGCUGACCAACCAGAAAUGUGCCCUGGGGUGUCUGCUUCAGGAUGUAGGAUGUAUAGGUGAGGUGCUGUGACAAGUUACUACUUGUACUUUGGGUUCCUCCUCCUCCACUAUUCGUAGAACCACCAGAUUGGAGACUAGCAUUAUUCGUGGCUCGCAGUAUGGCUCCCUGGGGUAUGAGAAGCAGUUUUCCUUUGCCAGAAGGGUUCUUGCUGUUGGUGGUGAGGUAUA